GAACCCCCUGCCUACCUUAAGACUCACCUGAGCCUCAGUUCUACAAUGUUCUAGAUGACUCCUGAGUCCCCUCCAGAGGCUUGUUUCUUCCUGUAAUAUUUUUCAAGGCAACAACCUCCAUGUCCCUGAGCUGUGCGUGAGUGGAGCAGAAAGAUCCACCAGGUAUGUGGGCGGAGGAAGCUCAUCAUCUCCUCUGGCCUGUCCUGAUCCUCUGGAGCCACUUAGGAGAGCUGGACAGGAGAUUCAAACAAUCCCUACAGUCCGAGGUCCCAUCUUCCUUUUGGGGGCCUACUCAGUAAAGCCAGUCCCCAUCUCUGCUGCAAGUCUUCAGUGAGUUUUGGAUGGACAGCCUGGCCUGGACCUUGAUGGACACUCUGCUGUAGCUGCAAUGCAUAUGGCCUGGUGUGGCUUCUGGGGAAUGUUAUCUUCUUCAUCAUACUUUCACUUCUCCACAGAAGCUUCUAAAGCCUGCCACUCGGAAGCUGACCUUUCCUAACACACUUCCG